UUUUCUCUAAACGUUGAGGACUGAGAGGGAGAUAAAGUAAGAGUCUAUCUAUUCAAUCUCAAAAUCAAAAAGAAGGAUAUUUUCCUAAAAUUAGAAACAUCGAGAAUAAAGUCUGCCUUCUGUAUGCUGGUAGAAAAGAAUUUGGAAGAGAAGGAUCAGGGAGGGAAGUGCUAUUUCUCUGCAUCUGCUUCCCAACCACUGGACCAGCCAUGAUCUCUAUUCCUAUCUUGGUGAUUAGAAUUCUGUUACUUUUUGGGGGCACUUAUGGAGAUUCAGUGACUCAGACAGAAGGACCCAUUACUCUCUCUGAGGGAACAUCACUCACACUGAACUGCUCUUAUCAGACCAGUGGGGCACCUUAUCUCUUUUGGUAUGUCCAGUAUCCCAAAGGAAAUCUGAAGCUCCUUCUGAGAGAGACAUCAGGGAAAGACCAGGAGGAAGACAAGAAUGGAUUUGGGGCCAGAAAGAUUAAGGAAAAAUCUUUAUUCUACCUGGAGAAAGCCUCAGUCCAGAUGGGAGAUUCUGCUGUCUACUAUUGUGUUCUCAGUGGCACAGUGAUGAAGACUAUAGAGGGAGCUGAACACAAAUUCUGUGAAAUACAGGAGACAUCCUGUGACUGACUACCAUUGACUAGAGUUUUAUUCUCUACUCCAAAAAUACAAGCUUUGGGGACACAUCUUGAAUAAAGGGGUAAAUUCUACUGUCCUACAAGCCCUCGUUGAAACUAGAUGUCUGUGGAAUAUCCUAAGCCUCAUUUUCUGCUCUCAAUCAUGGGGAUUUCUUUUUCUCUGGUCUUGGAUAUUCUUAUUUAGGAAUUAUUUAUAAGAAGUUUACGGUGUUUCUUCCAUAAAGGGAAGAACUUGAAUUUGAAGUUGCAAUUAUCAUGGAAAGAAGUUAUUAAUUAUGAAUAGAGCAAUAACAGAAGGAACUUAAACUCCUAGUCUAUUAGAAGAGGCAAUAUGUAGGCAAUUACUAUGUGUUAGGCACUAUGCCAGGAAGCAGGGGCA